rnacentral:tRNA from 1 species
GUCUCGUUGGUGUAGUUGGUUAUCACGUGGGUCUCAUAGCUCCUCCUAUGACUGCUCUUAGAGGCAGAUAUCCCAAGGCCGCCAGUUCGAGUCUGGCACGGGACA